rnacentral:lncRNA from 1 species
ACAGUGUUCUGCACUAGCUGCAGCAGAUGCUUUUCUGUGUAGCCACGGCAUGGACUCCAGAUUUCCAGAUUUUCAAGAACUGCACCUGGGACCUGAAGAGCUCGUCAGGAUGUGACAGGGACUCUGGAGCUGAACAUACUUGUUUUUGAAUCUGGGGGCUGUUGACCUUGAUUUGAGAAGAGACAACAAUGGAGCAAGCACUGCCACCAGCGCUAUUACUGGGAAUUUGAAGACCUGAGUCUCUGCCAGAGCUUCAUUGCAAGUUCUAGUGACGCUCCAUCCAAAGUGAACUACGGUACUUGCUAUUUUCCAAAAUGCCUUAUUCUUACAUCUCUGCACUUACGUUCAUGCUCUCUUCUCUACCCUGGAAUGCUCUCCUCUGGUUCUUCACCUGUCAGAACAAUGCCAUUUCUUCAAUAUUCAAGUCAGAUAUUCUCUUCUUCAUGAGUCUCCCUAACUUUAUCUUUUUUUUUUUUUGAAUAUUAUAUCAUGUUGUUUACCUUUUAGCUCUCUAUGCAGAGCAUACCUCGUAGUCAUUUGCAAGCAUUUGCUCUCUUUCCAGAUAGUAAGCCCUUGAAAGCAAAGGCUUUGUUUUAAGAGUCUUUGCUGCACAUACUACUAUAUGUAAUGAAGCAUUUCAUAGAAAGGAGUAAUUUAGAGACUAGGCUAUCUCAGAAUAAACAUUUAGUAAGCAUUUGUUUAAUUGCUGUGUGGUUAUCUAAUUACUCUUGAUUAGGCAAAAGAUCACUAGUAUGGGCCAUGUUUCUUUCUGUGUUUCAUGUAUUUCUUUUUUUUAAUUCUAAGUUCUAAAAGAUUUAGGGAGCCCUCAAACAUGGAAGAGAAACUGAUACGUUGCAUAGGGUAUUUAACAGAAGGAUGCAAAGAACAGUGCCUUAUUUCCCAAGUACCUUAUUCUCUACCACUCAAGAUGGCAUCUUGUUAAAAUGAAAGUAAAAGCUUUUGAAAGCGCAAGGUCCUGAAAUAAUUUGAGCAAGGCAUUGGAAAAGGAAGAAGGACAAAAUCUAGGUUCGUGUUCUAUGUAAAUUUAAAUUCAGUUCUUGUGCUAUCCAUGGAGCCACUUCUUCCCCCUCCCCCCCCAUCAACCACUGCCCAACAGCCUGAAUACAGUCACAUUACUCCCCCAGAAUAUGAGACUUAAGGCAGUUCCUUGUUUGCUGCUUUCCUAAGACAGUUUGUUCUCAAGAGUCAGGAAGCAGUCCCUGCCAGAGAACUGUUUCUGUUCUUAUCAUCAUUAAUUGUUAAUCAGAAGGCUUUUUUAAAAAAAAUUAUUAUUAUUCCCCAUUUUCCCAUCUGUCAGCUUUUUAGCUAGGCUUACUGAGAAUUAGUACCCAUCCAGCAGCUGAUAAUCCUGACAGUAGACCCACUCUAGUGUUAGGAGUCCUGUGUUUGUAAUUCUGUGCAUUUGUUAUCUUACCUGUUUUGUUCCUAUCCCUUCCAGUCCUGUGCCUCCUGAUGGCUGAGUGUUCACCUGGACCUUCUGACCACCUUCCUUGUACUGUUCCAUCAGCCUAUAGAUCUGGUACCUGGAUUUUUGCCCAUGGUGAUUCCUUCACCUUACUGCUGAAGAAGACACCAUUCCAGUGGACCAUGGUGAUCCAAGAGGCAUUCAACCAUCAUGAUGUGGCCUUCAUCUCCACUCCUGUCCUGUUCUACCCAGAUUCAGUACAGCCCUUUAUAGUGAAGUCAAACU